rnacentral:misc_RNA from 1 species
UGCAUUUGUUAGGCUAUCUUUUUUGAAGACAACCCAGAAAAAGAUAAAUGAAUAGAGAAAAUCUGCACCAUAUCCAUCGUCUGUGAUGAUUAAUAGCAUUUUUCACACCACAAAGCCAAGCACAUUAUUGAGUUCAGUAAUGACUCGUGUGUACUUUCUUGUUUCCAAUAAGAUAGCCUAACAAAUGCAGUAAGCUGUCCUUACUCAUUGAGGGAUAAUUCUAAGGUGCUUUACAAGAUCCACGAAACAUAGAACUUCAAGUGUUUAAGCAACUCAUACUUGAAAAAAAGUGGAGUGAAAUCUCAUACAGACACUACUUGAGUAAUGCUAGAUCAGUAGAGCACUCCACUUUUACUCCAGGACUGGCGAACAUUCUCUAAAUGUUUUCAAUCUUCUGGGAAUCAAACCACCAUAGCUAAAAUUAAGCUUAUUUGAUAUGAAGUUGAUUUUGUAUAUAUACAGGAAAAGGGCCAUUUUAUUUAGCUUGAUUUCAUUCUCUGAUAGAACUGCUAGAGGGAAGCUGACUACAACGAGUUUAAUCAGAUUGUUUCUCUGAAAGCUGAUAUUUAAGAAAUUCCAGCACUGAAGAGCGCCUUUGCUCAAGAGCAGCUUCUUCAGGUUUUAUUGUCAAGCAUUCCAACAAUUUUAUGGCUUCUUGAAAUUUAUCAAGUGCUUCAUGCUCGUGACCAAGACUCCUAUCUGCAUCAGCAACUUUUGCUAGGGAAACAGCCACAUCUAGAGUCUGGGAUGAAACAUUAGAAUGAUGUUUCAUGGCCUCACGACGCACAUUGAGAGAACGAAAAUAGUAAGACCUAGCAGCUUCCAAAUCUCCAUCAUAAUAUUUAAGAUCUCCAACUUUAUUAAGAGAAACAGAUAGUGUAUGUGUAAUCUCCUGAUUAUCUGUAGGCAAUUUAGAGAGGAACUCUACACUCUCUUCAAAAUAAGCAGCUGCAGAACCAGGAUCACCCAGUGUGCGGCAGCAGUCACCAAGCAUACCCAGGACUGCCCCAAGCUGUGAACACAACUCUGAAGUGUUGCCUGUUUUUUCUAUCUGAUCUCGGAUGUCUUCUGCACAUAGACUGAGUCUUGAUUUGGCACUUUCCACAUUCUUGGAACGAAAUGCUCUCAUAGCAUGUUGCACCAAAAAAGCACCUCUCUCCAAAGAUACAUCCUCAUAUAUCACUUUUUUAUUGUCACCUACUUCUUCCUCUUUGUCUGUGUCAACAUGAGACCUCUUGAUUCUAGCAUGACCCUCAAUGAACUGAUCAACUAUAGCCUGGAGAUUGGUAUCAGGUUCAAUCUUCUCAAUGUCAGCUCCACACAAUGGACAGUCUUUAAAGCGGGAAAUACAAACUUUGCAAUACACAUGAGAGCACGGCACACAUCUGCUACUGUCAAAGAGAAGUGCUUGGCACAAAACACAACUAAGAGGGCCAAUUUUAAAUGUUUGAGAAUCAUAUCCUAAGGGACACUUAGGAGAAAUGCUGCCAGACUUAGGAGAAGCACUGGCAGAGUCAUAUCCGAAAGGACACUUGGGAGAAAUGCUGGCAGAGUCACCGGACUCUUUCUUCGCCUUCCCUUCGUGCUCCGCCCCAUGCUUGUUCGGAAUUUCCCCUGAUUUCUUCGACGACGAAUCAUCAGGGCGUGCAGAUUUCACAAAGGGGCAAACCGGCGUCAUCUUAGUAGGAAGAAUGAGUGGAAAAAGCUCCGAGCUUCGAGUAGGGUAUUUAUCGUUGUCGUCUUUCUGGGGCUGGGUAUCGCUGCUUCUUUCGGAAAAUGGCUCCCGGCGAUAGUAUCUGGAAGAGGAAAUUGGAAAUGGCAGGUGUCUGCUAUCUCUAGUUUAUCCUCUUCUCUUAUUCUUUUCGAUCCUCUAAUUGUUUUCCUAUUUCAA